GCGGUAUUCUACGAUAAGUAUUUCCAUGACUUUAUUUGAGAACAGAAGCAAAUGGAGUUCCUGAAAUUAAAGUAAGGGAAUAUGAGGGUGGCAGAAUAUGCAGAAAAGUUUAUAGAGCUAGCUCGGUUCGCGCCCAACUUAGUAACAGAUGGAAACCUAAGAGCCAAAAAGUUUUAGAGAGGCCUGCAUAAGGAGAUCUUGGAUAAAAU
rnacentral:lncRNA from 1 species